UAUUUGAUCAUUCUGCUAUUGCUGAACCAGUGAUUACCUUUCUAAUCCAGUAGGGUCUGUACUGCAUGAGGUACUUGCACAUAGAGUUCCUGACCCAAUUUAAGUUUGUCAGCUUCCGCUACCAACAAAGCUGCAGCAGCCACUGCUCAUAGACAACGGGGAAGACCACUGCCACCGCAUCCAGUUGUUUGGACAAGUAAGCUACA